rnacentral:sRNA from 1 species
ACUGGGGGCAGUGGUGCACACCUGUAAUCCCAGUGACUCAGGAGGCUGAGGCAGGAGGAUCACAAGUUUGAGGCUGGCCUCGGCAAUUUAGUGAGGCCCGCAGUAACUUAGUGAGACCCUGUCUCAA